GAUAUUGGCUAUCCUCUCUUGCAGCUCAGUUCAUCUCCCUUAGAUCGGCAUGCCUUUGGGCACAAUCUGGUCCUUUAUCCACAUGUAGAUAGGCACCAGAACAUAGUAUGCAGCACAUAUUGUUCCCAUGAGGAAGCGGAAGAGGAAGGUGAUAGGAUUCACAGGUUUGCUGACAUCCUCAACCUUUGGACCAAGCUGCAAAGGGGAGUCUCCAUGUUCUCUUUUGACGCCCGUCACAGAGCAUCCCAUAAUCAGGCCAUGCCUUCGGACACCACGGUACCAUUUUGGUCCAAUCCUUUUGAGCUUGACAUCCUUGAACCCUGCCUUUUUGAACCACUCAAUA
rnacentral:misc_RNA from 1 species